GGUUAAGCGACUAAGCGUACACGGUGGAUGCCCUGGCAGUCAGAGGCGAUGAAGGACGUGCUAAUCUGCGAAAAGCGCCGGCGAGGUGAUAUGAACCCUUGACCCGGCGAUGUCCGAAUGGGGAAACCCAGUGCAAUUCGUUGCACUAUCGUUAGCUGAAUACAUAGGCUAACGAGGCGAACCGGGGGAACUGAAACAUCUAAGUACCCCGAGGAAAAGAAAUCAACCGAGAUUCCCCCAGUAGCGGCGAGCGAACGGGGAGCAGCCCGGAGUCUGAAUCAGCUUGUGUGUUAGUGGAACGGUCUGGAAAGUCCGACGGUACAGGGUGAUAGUCCCGUACACGAAAGCACACAUGCUGUGAACUCGAAGAGUAGGGCGGGACACGUGGUAUCCUGUCUGAAUAUGGGGGGACCAUCCUCCAAGGCUAAAUACUCCUGACUGACCGAUAGUGAACCAGUACCGUGAGGGAAAGGCGAAAAGAACCCCGGCGAGGGGAGUGAAAAAGAACCUGAAACCGUGUACGUACAAGCAGUGGGAGCCUCUUUAUGGGGUGACUGCGUACCUUUUGUAUAAUGGGUCAGCGACUUAUAUUCUGUAGCAAGGUUAACCGUAUAGGGGAGCCGAAGGGAAACCGAGUCUUAACUGGGCGUUAAGUUGCAGGGUAUAGACCCGAAACCCGGUGAUCUAGCCAUGGGCAGGUUGAAGGUUGGGUAACACUAACUGGAGGACCGAACCGACUAAUGUUGAAAAAUUAGCGGAUGACCUGUGGCUGGGGGUGAAAGGCCAAUCAAACCGGGAGAUAGCUGGUUCUCCCCGAAAGCUAUUUAGGUAGCGCCUCGUGAA
rnacentral:rRNA from 2 species